UACAGAGGUCUCAAGCGUUGUCCGGAAUCACUGGGCGUAAAGGGCGCGUAGGUGGCCUGUGGAAGUCUGCGGUGAAAGCCCGGCGCUCAACGCCGGGUCGGCCGUGGAUACUCUCGGGCUCGAGCUUACUAGAGGCAGAUGGAAUUCCGGGUGUAGCGGUGGAAUGCGUAGAGAUCCGGAAGAACACCGGUGGCGAAGGCGGUCUGCUGGGGUAAUGCUGACACUGAUGCGCGACAGCGUGGGGAGCAAACAGG
rnacentral:rRNA from 1 species